rfam:Brassica oleracea var. oleracea cultivar TO1000 chromosome C2, whole genome shotgun sequence
GGUUCUAUGGUGUAGUGGUUAGCACUCUGGACUUUGAAUCCAGCGACCUGGGUUCGACUACUGGUAGGACCU